rnacentral:lncRNA from 1 species
AUGGGGGGAGAAGGAUCAUGCCACGUUUUCGGUGCCAUGACGGUGACAGCCGCGGGGUCAUCAGCUGCCGCGAGUCCGGGCACUGCCCCUUGCACCCCUGCCAAGCUCCCCGGAGUGCCGGGGCCCCACGCCGCCGAUGCCAUGCAGGCCACGGCGGUGCUGGGUCCUGCACUGCCCUGCUGCCUCCCCUCGUUGUCCCCUCCCAGCAUGUCCCCAGACCCCCCCAGAGGGUGUCCGGCCACAGCGGCACGGCGAGGUUGGCGCCCUGCUCGGGCUUCCCCUGUUUGCUGGGACCUGCAGGGUGCCGUGAGCCCCGUUCGGCGCUGGCGGAUGCAUGGAGCCGCGCGGGCAGCCAGCCGCCCAGGCCAGGCGUGGGGCAGCCCCCCUUGCCGUGUGGCAUCCCCGCCGCCAUCUGGGCUCCCCGGACAGCGAGCCAAGGCAGGGGCUCCACGGAAAAGCAGCCUCUCCUCGUUGGCCAGCCCUGACCUAUUUCAUCCGCGCCAGCCGAGUGGAUGCUUCCCGGGGCAGCUCAGGCUGCACGAGCGCAGGAGCGAGCCAGGAAAUCGCCCCACGCCGCACGGCGCUUGUCAGAGCCGCUGGAGCCAGCUGCGGUUCUGGGGCGGCGUUUCGAGCAAGCCGGGACCCGUGCGGCGCGGAGGCGUGGGGGCGAAAGGGGUCGGGACGGUUCGGGAGGAGGCGCGAAGGGAGGCAGGAUGGGAAAUGGUUUGUGCCGAGGCGGGAGGCUGCCCCGGGUCUCGGCCGUGGCGGGGAGCACCUGGCAUCGCCUGGUGCUGUCAGCCCCGCGGGACGGGGACUUGGGAGGCGACGGCACACGCACGGACAGCCCGCUCCAGGCAGCCCCUCCUAAAAGGGGGGCGAUGCCUCCGGCUGCAUGGCUUGGGAGGGGGGGCUCACCAAUGGGUGACACAGGGUGCAAGGGGGCCCUUUCCCAGAGGAGGGGAAGGGGCAUCGACAGGCUCCCUUGGGCAAGGAGCCAGGAAGGCGCUGAUGCUGUCAGGGAAGGGAGGAUUUCUUUAUUUUGAUGAUAAUUUCCCGGUGUUUGCGGCUGUCAGUUUUCUGGUUAGCAGCUCCCCCUCCCCGGAGCUGCUCCGCGUAGUUGACACCACAAUUGUUUUCUGA